GUGUUUUUGCAGAUGAACAGGUUGACAGAAGUCCCACUGGCUCAGGAGUGACAGCCCGAAUUGCCUUACAGUAUCACAAAGGGCUUCUGGAACUGAACCAGAUGAGAGCCUUCAAAAGCAGUGCAACUGGCUCAGUAUUCACAGGGAAAGCUGUGAGGGAGCUGUUAUGAGAAGAAUCUGGGAUUGCAAUGUCCCCCCAAAUAGAGAGGGAGCCGAGAGACCAAAGAAUGACUCAGACAAGUCCAGGAAGCGAAAUGUGGUGAUUUUAAAGCUGUUAUAGUGGAAGUAUCAGGACAAGCCCAUUACACGGGUACAGCAAGCUUUAUAAUAGAAGAUGACGACCCAUUGAGGGAUGGAUUUCUUCUCAAGUGACUUCUUCCAUGAUUUUAAGGGCUUUCUUUUUAAAGUAAUCAUUAUCCUUAAGGACUGUUUUCUCUAAAUUAUAUGAAAACAAAUAAAUUAUACAUAUAAACUAA
rnacentral:lncRNA from 10 species